rnacentral:lncRNA from 1 species
UACACCAGGCAAUCCCAGAUGGACUUCCCUAGCAAUUGGGCUCCUAUCGGACUUCGCCAACUGAAAGUCUUCAUCCGAGUCUCUACAGCAGAUGGUUCUCACCUGUAGUCUCAGUGCCUAAGGCCUCCAACAACAGUAGACUCAUCAGCGACCUCAAAAAUAUCCGAGCUUCUCCUGGAUCGACGAGACAAAUAGCCAUUCCACUCCAUCAGACAUCCCAAC